rnacentral:misc_RNA from 1 species
CUGCGCACCGGCCGGACAGACGCCCCUGCCGUCGCCGCGCCAGGAAGCCGCCCAAGGCCGUCCGCGCCGAUCCCGCACGCCCGGCCGCCUCAUGCCCGCACCCCGACGCGACUCCGCGCCUUCUCCCUCUCUUCUGGGUCGCCGUCGGCCAACUCCUGUCUGCGCCGGCCGCCUCCCUCUGCUCCCACCGGACCGCGCACCUGCGCCGUCUCCUCCAGCCGCCGGUGCCGCGCGCGCCCUGUCCUGUCACGCCCGCACCGCCGGACCCCCUCCCGUUGCGCCUGCACCGCCGUAUCUGUCUCCCUCCGCGCCAGCGCCGCCGGAUCCGUCCCGGCCCGCUUCUCCCCCUUCUCCAUCGGCCGGCGUCCAGCCGGCCUCCUCCCCUCGCUCACGUCGGCCGCUGGUUCCCAACUGCCCUUCUCCCUACCACGAGCACUCCCCGCUGCGGCCUCCUCUUCACUUGCGGUCCGGCGCUGUCGGCCCCAUCUCCCAGCCAUGCCGCCCGACUCGUUCCUACUGGCAGCGUGCGCCCUUCUGGACGGCCCUCCUCGCUACUCGCGCAGCUGCGCUUCUACCAGUCUUGUCCCCACCCACACCGAUUCCAUGGCGUCACCCCCGCCGUACAUGAGCUUUACCUCGCCCGUCGCUCCUGUGACUGUGCGUGCCCUCCUCUACAACGGCCAGCUCAUCCGGGGCAUAACGGCGACCGGGGACCCCCCCCUCCCGAACGGCGCGGGUGGCGAGCAGAACAACAAGAGGCGGAGCCGACUCUCUGGCCUCCGCUCCCUACCAAGCAUCGCCGCAGCCCGCAUACUCUGGCAGACGUCGCAGCGCCUGUGUGAUCCUUGGCCGGAGUCCUUGACCAGCAUCGUCCUCUCGUUGUCGAAGUUGAGCGCGAUGGGCUUGAUGGCGGUGUUCUACUCCCAAGACCCCCUACGCAGCGUUGUGGGGUCAGCUACGCCUUCGGGGAGCGGGAUGGAGAGUGCGACGGGGACGGCAACCGGAAGGCCCCUCCAUCGUCGUUCAUGGCCGGAGAUCUACUGA